AACAAAAAAUAAUAAAAAAAUUCUCCAUAAUUAAAUAAAAUUGUUAAAAUUAUCACAGUUUAGUGCAUUAUACAUGUAUAAAAAUUCUUAUUAAAACUACUGCUUAGGUAAAUAUCAGAAAAAAUAAAAUACAAGUAUUUUGUGUAGAUCUACCUAAAUAUAAUUUAUCUACUGGUAAACUAAAUCUGAAAAUGCAAACUGAAGGGAAUAAAUAAAAGUUCAUGGAAAGUAAAUACUUCAACUUCAGAAAGCUGAAUAGUAAAUUACAUACAUUUAUCAAAGUUUAACCUGCUGGGGGCAUCCAAAUCUUUCAUUUUUACAGAUGCCUUUGUCAAAGAAUAUUUAUCUAAUUCAGUUAAAUAAAUAAAUGUAUUUGCACUGUUUAAAUUGUUAAGUAUAUGCUUCCGAAAAUAUAACACAGUAGCCAAAUUCUAAGUGGAGAGAAAAUCUAUAUGUACUGAAUUGAACCUUCUAUUUGACAUAUCAAGGACCAAGGAAAGAUUUACAUUAUCAUGCAAAACAUUCAAAUCUAUUUUAAAGUGUUGACCUAAUACAGAUUUAGGCAACAGGGAUUUGCAAGCUUGCUGCAACAACAAAAAAGACAAAAUGGAAAUACCUAUUCAUUAAACCACUUUCAUAUGAAGCUUUAACAGCAUGCUACAGACAUCAAUCCUAACUGAAAUAUAGUACUUAAAUACCCAAAAUACAAAAGAUAAAAAAAAAAUCCCAAAUUAAAAAAGAACAGAUAAGCUAAGAUACGGAAAUCCAUUUAAAAAGUACCAAGAUGAAUUCUGUCAAAGAAAUUGCUUUGGACUAACAACCAAUAGAAAAACCUUGGUUUAAAUUGUAAAUAAGGCAGUCUUUAGUAGCAUGAUUGAAUAAAAAAGAAUAGGAUUUGACUAGGAAAAAGUAGAUCCCAUAUUAGAGAAUUAAUACCAAGCAAGAUACUCUAGUUUAAUUUAUUAUUUGCAACAGUUCUUCACAUUUAUCUUCUGACAGAAAUAUUGAUUCAAAGUGAGAAAGAAAUUAAACAAUACAAGAUAGUGCAAAGAAACAAAUCCAAACUUUCUAUUAUUUAAACUAAUUUUACACAUAGGAUCUUACAAACCAGUACCAAAAUAACAUUCAAAUAAAUAAUUUAACAAGUAAUGAUUUAUAACACCGGAAUCAAUGGGUACGGCUUGCUGGAACUAACAAACAACAAUCAGACAAUUUGGUAAAAGACACAGACUUAAUCCAAACUUGGAAUGUAAUUAUACCUAACCUAAGGCAAAGAUUUGGCAGACAUUUUCUUUACAUACUUUCAUACACUUAAUUGUACAGUAUUGAAAAAAAAAACCAAUAACAAUAACUUUAACUGGGUUUACAACAUUUCAAACGGAAGGUCAAGAAAGCAAAAUAUAAAACACAUAUGGAAACAAACAAAAAAUAAAUAAUUAAACUAAAACUACAGUGGAUACUAACAUUAUACAGUUAUAAUACUGGGUAAUCUAACAAGAUACUAAAUACCAACAUAAAAAAGUCACUCUAAUUCACUCCUGCCAAUAAAAAUGUCUGCCUUCCAACGUUUCCAUAUAACAUUCCGAAUUUUCAAUUACAUGCAAGAUCUAGCUUAAUAAGAUUUGACAGGGGAUCAGAAUCUAGCAAAUCAAUAAACCAUAUAGAACCAACUAAAACCCAUGUAGGCCACAAUCUCCAGCCACUGAUUGCCAAGUACGAUUUAAUUAUGGUAACAUUUACUUCCAAAUACAGUAAAUAAACAAUAAGAGAAUUGAUUAUCCAUGGCCGAUUGUAACGAGAGCUGAAACAUUUAAUGAUUGAAAGAAAGGCAGGAAGUAUCAAUAAAUAUCUAGAUUUUGUAGAAAAUGUGGACAUUAUUUUCAUGGUAAUGGGUUUUCGCUAAUUGAUAGGGGGACAAAAUUUAAUUAGUUUACUUAUUUUAUGGCACAAUUUCACAUAAAAGUUAAA
rnacentral:lncRNA from 1 species